UAGAGGAGAAGAGAUUGAAGUUUGUGCCGCAUGGUGGAUGCUGCUUUUUGACAUUUCUCUUUGCUUCUCUCUGGUCUGAGUAUUACGGUAUGGAAGAGGAGAAAACCAGUGCGAAGAGAAGCAGAAUCCGGAGAACAGGCCGGCGGGGCAGAGCAGCGGCCGCAGCCUCGGCGAGCGCGAACAGCAGCACCCCCGCGACCCACCGCGCCAGUCUGGAU